rnacentral:misc_RNA from 1 species
GUAUAUAUUUUAUAGGCACAUACAUUCUAUUAACAUACAUUGGGGUAAAUGAAGCAACAUAGACCAGGGGUCUACAAAAGGUGCACAGGUGGAGAUAUAAAGAUGACAAGGUGUGCACAUGCUCUCUAGAGAACCAGCAACAACCCAUCAGGUUUAUUUCAAUAAUGAUCCUUCCGCAGGUUCACCUACGGAAA